rnacentral:rRNA from 1 species
UACAGAGGUGGCAAGCGUUGUUCGGAAUUACUGGGCGUAAAGGGCGCGUAGGCGGCCUACUAAGUCGAACGUGAAAUCCCCGGGCUCAACCCGGGAACUGCGUCCGAUACUGGCAGGCUUGAAUCCGGGAGAGGAUGUGGAAUUCGUCGGUGUAGCGGUGAAAUGCGUAGAUAUCGAGAGGAACACCUGCGGCGAAGGCGGUUGCUGGCUGACACUGACGCUGAAGCGCGAAAGCUAGGGGAGCGAACGGG